AUAAGCAUUUAACCACAUGAGUGCUACAUGAGCAGUAAUUUAUAUUUUUGAGCAGCAAAAGCUGAACAGAUGGCUUUUGGUUGCAUAAUGUCAAAAGAGUUGAGUUGAUGGCUACCCCCAUUUCCAGUUUUAAUUCAUCUACCGAGGAUGGCCACCAGUGUGAACACCAGCAUCAUGGGCCCAUACAGCUCCCCAGCAAUCUUCUAUAGUUGGAAAAUAGGAGCAGGGAAAACAUUUAAUAUUUCCUUUUAAUUGGCCAGCUGGCCCUUGAUACCCUUCAUGCCCAGAAACUCGCCAUCCUCUCCAGUCUCCUCUUCAGUUGCUUCCUCCUCCUCUGCCACCUCUUCCUCCUCCUUCAUGCGCUGGUGCAUCUCCCCCAUGUCCUCAAAGCUGGAGCCCGAUGUGUCAUCCAUGUUCUCCAUGUCAAUCACUGCUGACCCAGUGCCCUGCAUAUCUUUUUAUGAUGGACAGCAUCUCUAAGCCUGAGCGAGAUCUUAGAAUCGUCCAGCAGCAACAAGGACACGGAAGGACAGGAGAGUGAAGAGGAGAAGGAGGUGCAAAGGGUGGUCAAGUCACCAUGGUGUCCUACCUCGUCAACAACCCCAACAACAUACUGUCGGUCCCCGCACCAGACCUAGAGUAUCUCAGCUCACACACCCACUCCCAUGACAUCUCUCAGGCUCCAAGAGUUUCAUUCCAAGCCCUGGCUAUGGUGGAGCCAGACAGAGUACCCUCCAACAUCACAACACCUCUACCCAUCAUCACAAAAAGAGGCUGAGCCCCCCUACAGCGUAAACGCUUCACUGCAGACGGUCUAGACAGACCUGCUGCCCCCCCCCCCCCCCCUUCCACCUGUACCAGCUCCUGGAGUGCAUUAUGGAAGAGGCGGAGGGCAAGCUGAACGAGCUGGGCCAGGCUGAACUGGAAGAAGUGGCUGCAGCUACAGUAUGGUCCAUUUUGUGUCUACCACAGUUUCCAACACUGACAGGAAAAGACAUGCACUGCUGUGAAGGAUCCUGCCUGACCCAAAUACUUCAAAUGGCACAAUUACAUAAGCGGCUGUCUGUUUGACAGGUGUUUAUCGAAAGGAAACAACAAGAACACUAUGCCUCACAAAAACAGUGAGUAAAGUGAUUGUUUGAUUGAAACAGUUUUAUCAUAAACUAAUAAUUAAUUACAUGUUGACUACAUACAGCACAGUAUUUUAUGUUACCCUUUCCUGAUAUGAUUUAAUAAAUGCUGACUGCUGUCUCUAGGUUAGUCUCUUGUCUGGCACAAACACUUGUUGCUGAAUGCAUUGCUCCUGAGUGGCACAGCAUCUUGGUGCUAGAGGUGUCACUACAGACCCUGGUUUGAUUCCAGGCUGUAUCACAACCGGCUGUGAUUGGGAGUCUCAUAGGUCGGCGCACAAUUGGCCCAGCGUCGUCCGGGUUAGGACGAAUUAAACUCUAAAGGUCUUUACCUAUCACAUCCAUAAACAGUCAACAUAAUCGUAACCUCAAAUUAUAUCAUCAUUCUGAACAGUCGUAACCUUCAUCUGCAAAAAAAACACCCUUAUGAUUCAGUACUACACAACACAAAUUAAUUUAAUUAUUUGUUUACUCGCUAACUAAAUGGUAACACGGGAUAAACAUACACACUUAAUACAAUAGAAACUGGUCCCUAGCGACUGACACAAUAUGGCGGCUUGUUACAAAAGAUUGACACACCUGGCUAGCCUGUGAUUCCCAGUGGGGUGAUGAGUAGUAAAAUAUGAUGGUUUGAAGAGAGUAGUAGAAUGGUCCCACUUAAUGUAGCUUUUCUAGAUACUUUACUUAGAACAGCUAAUCAUCCAUACCAGUGAUUGUCUGGGAAAUGAUGUCUGGGAGAUCUCUACCUCGUGUUGAGAUUGAAUUCGAACCACUUUGGACGUGAGCUGCAGCUACACAUCUCUCUGGUCUGAAAUGUAAAUUCUUAACCCAUGGUUUUAUACAGUUUGUUCAAAAGAGGGUGGUUCGUGAGGCUGACAUCCUCUCUGAUCUCACUCAGGGGGGUGGUGACUACUUGAACAAAGUUAUAGAAACAAUUUUCUCUUAUAGAUUCUAAGAUCACAUCCCUCUCUUAAAAAAAACAUUCAUGUUUCGUAUUUCAUACACAACGUAGAGGAUGGAAACUUCGUAAAUGUAGUGUAUAUACCUUUCAAGUUACAGUAUUUCCUUUUUAACAUUUUAUGACAUCACCAAAUAACAACCAAAAUGACAUUAUUAUUCUAUAGAUAGCCUUCGACCAUUCCCCACUUUGUAUGUUAGAAAUAUUGUUCCAGUAUUCGCUUUAGAACGUGUUAGAUUUUCGGCUGGAAAAUGUCUGUAACAAAGACACAUUCCUGUAUGAAUUUGGAGAGGGAUGUUCUCUCCUUGAUUUACAACAGGGUGUGGGUUGUCAUCCACUGCAAAGCUGAUCCAACCCCUCUGGAUCUUCACAGGACAGUCAUGACAAAGCCUGGCGAGACGUUUUGAUAACCAUGCAUUAUCACUCAUACUUUAUUAUUGUGGUCGAAUUACCACUACCCUGACCGACAGUCCCCUCACGCUAUCACCCUCCCCUGUCCAAUCCCCCUUCCAACAGAGACAGGACUCAGCUCCUUCACCACCUUUUAAAUACCCAGACCUGUCACUAGUCAGUGUGGUAGACCUGACCAUUUCAAUUUGCAAGUGUUUUGUUACAAGACACCUUUUUGCUUGUAAUCCUUUCCUUUGUGUAUUUUGAAUGUGUAUAGGACCAAUAAAGUUUGUUCUUAUUUCUUAAUUUAGAUUAUCAUUUGAUUUAGAACAUUUACUGUUUGUUUGCUUUAUGCAUUUCCUUUACUCAUGUUUAAACCUAUUGCCUAAGUUUCUUCACUGUAAAAUUAUUUUAAUGUUAGAUUCAUGAGUAUAUUAGUAUAUCUGCGUAUGGUUUAUAUGAAAUCACUACCAUGUGCUUCUUUGUUUCCUACUUAAUCACUCCAUCCUUACAUCCUCAAUCUUGUCAUUAUCUUCAAUUCAACUUAAGUAAUAAACUGGGCAUCAGCCCUUUGAA